rnacentral:rRNA from 1 species
GAUGAACGCUGGCGGCGUGCCUAAUACAUGCAAGUAGAACGCUGAAGGAAGGAGCUUGCUCUUUCCGGAUGAGUUGCGAACGGGUGAGUAACGCGUAGGUAACCUGCCUGGUAGCGGGGGAUAACUAUUGGAAACGAUAGCUAAUACCGCAUAACAGUAGAUGUUGCAUGAUAUCUACUUAAAAGGUGCAAUUGCACCACUACCAGAUGGACCUGCGUUGUAUUAGCUAGUUGGUGAGGUAACGGCUCACCAAGGCGACGAUACAUAGCCGACCUGAGAGGGUGAUCGGCCAAACUGGGACUGAGACACGGACCAGACUCCUACGGGAGGCAGCAGUAGGGAAUCUUCGGCAAUGGACGGAAGUCUGACCGAGCAACGCCGCGUGAGUGAAGAAGGUUUUCGGAUCGUAAAGCUCUGUUGUAAGAGAAGAACGAGUGUGAGAGUGGAAAGUUCACACUGUGACGGUAUCUUACCAGAAAGGGACGGCUAACUACGUG